AGAGUUUGAUCCUGGCUCAGGAUGAACGCUGGCGGCGUGCCUCAAACAUGCAAGUCGAGCGGGGCUAUGUAAUACCGCAAGGUAGAACAUAGCCUAGCGGCGAACGGGUGAGUAACACGUGGGUAACCUGCCUGGAAGACAGGGAUAACGAUUCGAAAGGGUCGCUAAUACCUGAUAAUAUCCUUUCAUCGCAUGGUGAUAGGAAGAAAGGGGAAACCCGCUUUCAGAUGGGCCCGCGUCCCAUCAGCUAGUUGGUAAGGUAAAGGCUUACCAAGGCGACGACGGGUAGCCGGUCUGAGAGGAUGUACGGCCACACUGGGACUGAGAUACGGCCCAGACUCCUACGGGAGGCAGCAGUUGGGAAUCUUAGGCAAUGGACGAAAGUCUGACCUAGCGACGCCGCGUGAGGGAAGAAGGCCUUCGGGUUGUAAACCUCUGUCAUGGGGGAAGAAGUAAGUGACGGUACCCCAAGAGGAAGCCCCUGCUAACUACGUGCCAGCAGCCGCGGUAAUACGUAGGGGGCGAGCGUUAUCCGGAAUUAUUGGGCGUAAAGGGCGAGUAGGCGGUCUGUUAAGUCAGGUGUGAAAUUUCAGGGCUCAACCCUGAAACUGCGCUUGAAACUGGCAGGCUAGAGGACAGGAGAGGGAAGUGGAAUUCCCGGUGUAGCGGUGAAAUGCGUAGAUAUCGGGAGGAGCACCAGUGGCGAAGGCGGCUUCUUGGACUGUACCUGACGCUGAGGAGCGAAAGCUGGGGGAGCAAACAGGAUUAGAUACCCUGGUAGUCCCAGCCGUAAACGAUGAGUGCUAGGUGUGGGGGGCGACAAUCCUCCGUGCCGCAGUUAACGCAAUAAGCACUCCGCCUGGGGAGUACGGCCGCAAGGCUAAAACUCAAAGGAAUUGACGGGGGCCCGCACAAGCAGUGGAGCGUGUGGUUUAAUUCGAGGCAACGCGAAGAACCUUACCAGGGUUUGACAUCAUACUGCCCUCUGUAGAAAUACAGACUUCCGCUUCGGCGGACAGUAUGACAGGUGUUGCAUGGUUGUCGUCAGCUCGUGUCGUGAGAUGUUGGGUUAAGUCCCGCAACGAGCGCAACCCCUAUCCAAUGUUGCCAACAGGUAAAGCUGGGGACUCAUUGGAGACUGCCGGAGACGAUCUGGAGGAAGGUGGGGAUGAGGUCAAAUCAUCAUGGCCCUUAAGCCCUGGGCUACACACGCGCUACAAUGGUCGGUACAACGGGCAGCGAAGGAGCGAUCUGGAGCGAAUCCCAAAAAGCCGGCCCCAGUUGGAAUCGCAGGCUGAAACUCGCCUGCGUGAACACGGAAUUGCUAGUAAUCGCGAAUCAGCUAUGUCGCGGUGAAUACGUUCCCGGGCCUUGUACACACCGCCCGUCAAGCCAUGGAAGCUGGCAACACCCGAAGUCAGUGACCCAACCUGUAAAGGAGGGAGCUGCCGAAGGUGGGGCUGGUGACUGGGGCUAAGUCGUAACAAGGUAGCCGUAUCGGAAGGUGCGGCUGGAUCACCUCCUU
rnacentral:rRNA from 1 species